UUCCUUGCUUCGGCAGGACAUAUACUAUAAUUGUAACGAUACAGAGAAGAUUAAAAUGGCCCCUGUUUAAGGAUGGCACACGUUACCUAUUUUUUUUUUAUUAAUUU